ACUAGGCACACUAAAAGAAAUGUCCUCUCCCCACCUAGCACUGUCUAGUUGACUGACUGAGCAGCAAUGGCACAAGAAGCAGCCCACCCAGUGGUGUGAGAGUUGACAGGAACAAGAAACAGUAACAAAGCAAGAGAAGAAACAUUGGGUUCAAGAAUUCCAGUGAGACUCUGGAGGCAAGUUUUAAUCUCCUAUAGGCAAUACCCCUGGAAAGCAGAACCAGAGUGAGGGACCUGCCAGCUGAAG
ensembl:lncRNA